CUUGAAUCUUGUUUAUUCCACGACACUAAUCGCGUUGUGAAUAACUAUACAAGGAAUAUGUUUGAUUUCAAGAAAAACAUAGGCGAAUUCCUCAAAUUCCAUUAGGGCCUAAGUUGAGAGCACUUAUUACAUCAUAAUUCGAUUCCUUCUGGAGUUGUGUAGUUGAAAAAUUGAAACGUGCAUGGCGGCGGGAGUGAAACUGUGUAAUUCGUACCAGUGUAAGAAUAUGUUCAAAAAUGUCAGUUCCCCUUGACAUUGAACUAUAGUUGAUUUGUUAUUUCCUUGUAGAGAUCAUAGCUGGGAAACAAACCUUAUAGGUAAACUGAGAAUGACGGAAGAUGCUGUAUUGAAAUAUACAUGGCUACUAUGGCUUCUGAGAGCAACGGCCAACGUGCACCGGCUAACUAUAUGUCUAUGAAAAGGUACUCAAACGGAAGUGCUAUACCAAACCGUAGAACUGUUUCUGAACUGAUUCAAGCUUGUAAGACUAAAGCUGGCUGAUCAAUCAUAACAGUAUACAAUAUAUACUCCGCACACUAGACUGACGAUACUCGCUAUGAUAUAAUAUGAUUCAACAACUCAAUUGCGGUUGACAUGCAUAUGAGACGUUGUGUAGACUAUAUAUAGAUGUGUUAUCGUAUAUAUAAUAUACAAUAUACAAUAUAUAUAUAUAAUAUAAAUAUUUAUUUAACAGUUAUAACGUUUUAACUUCUGGUUUCAUUUUUAUUCAGGCGUACAAAAAAUAUAGAGGACUUAUGACAGGGGGCAAGAAGGACAAAAGGUCACUCCAUACAGGAUUGUCACCACGUUUUAAGAAAAAUUAUUAUUGUCAGACUUUUGUAUUCUGUUGGUGUAUUAAUAAACUCUUUUGUGUUUCUUCGUUCUUUGGAAAUAUUGCUUUGCAUUUUCCUUUAUUGAGUCGUGACAGUUGUAUCGUGGUAGUAUAUAGAUUAAUUUCUGUCAUUCUUUGCAUUAUUUACAUUUUUUACAAUUGUAUUUUGUUUUCAGUGCUCCAACAGACAAUUUAUAUAACUGAUAUUUUAUUUGGUAAUAGGCACAUUAAAUGCAUAUCAUAUUUGUUUAGUGCCUUGAAUAAAAAUACACAGGGAGAUGUAGAAGAAUCGAUAUCGGCUGAAAAACAAUGCUUGCAGUUUGUGACGGCAUGAUGUUCAUAUAUACAGCAUACUAAAAGUUCCAAACGUUCUUG